rnacentral:piRNA from 1 species
UGUGAAGGGUGACCAUGGAAUUUCAGC